rnacentral:lncRNA from 1 species
GAAGAGGGGUAAUCCACUCUCCCCAAGAAGAAUAAGAUUCCAAUAUUGUAACAGAAGAAGUAUCAGUUUAGAGGAGGGUAAUCCGCAACCUCUAAAAAAUGCUAGUAUACCUUCAAGUAGAGGGGUAAUCCACACUCUACUAAGAAAGAACUAGCUCUGAUAUCUCAAGUUAGUGUAGUCUCGACAAACUGUCUCGGACACAAAAUAUAGACUUGAAAUCUAACAAGAAGUUCAAGAAGAAGUGGCAGAACUAGAUUAAACAGAUGAGUACAAGAACAACACCAGAAAGGUGAGCUAGAAC